GACGAACGCUGGCGGCGUGCUUAACACAUGCAAGUCGAACGGAAAGGCCCUGCUUUUGUGGGGUGCUCGAGUGGCGAACGGGUGAGUAACACGUGAGUAACCUGCCCUUGACUUUGGGAUAACUUCAGGAAACUGGGGCUAAUACCGGAUAGGAGCUCCUGCUGCAUGGUGGGGGUUGGAAAGUUUCGGCGGUUGGGGAUGGACUCGCGGCUUAUCAGCUUGUUGGUGGGGUAGUGGCUUACCAAGGCUUUGACGGGUAGCCGGCCUGAGAGGGUGACCGGCAACAUUGGGACUGAGAUACGGCCCAGACUCCUACGGGGGGAAGCAGUGGGGAAUAUUGCACAAUGGGCGGAAGCCUGAUGCAGCAACGCCGCGUGCGGGAGGACGGCCUUCGGGUUGUAAACCGCUUUCGCCUGUGACGAAGCGUGAGUGACGGUAAUGGGUAAAGAAGCACCGGCUAACUACGU
rnacentral:rRNA from 1 species